UCCCACACCCCAAACCCCUCAUCCCCAGUUCUGUUGGGUCGCGGGCAUCAACAAUUUUCUUUAACUGGGUUGCCAGAAAAAUAGUUUGAAAGCCACUGCUCUAUAUCUUUUCUGUCAAAGUGCUCAGGAGGAA